GCCGCCGCCGCCGCCGCCGCCAUUCCUGCCCCCGCGCUCGCCUGGCCGGGCGCCGCUGGGGCCGCGCCGCCGGGACGCACCGCACCAGGCUCUGCCGUCAGCAGACGCUGGGAAGGAGCCGCACCCCCGUUGCUGAAAUGUUCGACGACACCGAUCAUCAGAGCCAAGAUUUCUGAAGACUCCUUUCUAGAAACAGUUGGGAAGAUCUGAGAAGCACAAGAUACAGAAUUUCUUCGGAAGGCCGUAAAGCAGCACACUGAGAGCGCCAGGCGGCCCUUGACCCUGGCGGCGCUGAGAGCAGCCCGCCCUCUCCCAGAGCACCGAGAAAUGCGGGUCCUCGGGGCUGGCGCCGCCCCCCAGCUCCCAGCUGUGCUGCAGGCCGUGGCCCCGGGGCUCUGAGCAGCACCCAGCCGGACACCCACUGCCGGGUGCUGCCACCCACGGGCGUUUGCUGCCGAAAUCCCCGCUGCGGCCCAGCCGAUGAGGAUGUGCGUCCCCACAGGGGGGCUGCUCACCGCCCUCGCCGUGGUGUUUGGGACAGCGGUGGCGUUUGCUCCCGUACCUCGGAUCACCUGGGAGCACCAAGAGGUGCAGCUGACGCAGUUUCACGAGCCGGGCAUCUUCAACUACUCGGCCUUGCUGCUGAGCGAGGACAAGGACACCUUGUACGUGGGCGCCCGGGAAGCCGUGUUUGCCUUGAACGCGCACAACAUCUCCAGGAAGCUGCACGAGGCCUACUGGAAGGUCUCAGAAGAUAAAAAAGCCAAAUGCGCGGAGAAGGGGAAGUCAAAACAGACAGAAUGCCUGAACUACAUCCGCGUGCUGCAGCCGCUGAGUGCCAACGCCCUUUACGUGUGCGGGACCAACGCGUUCCAGCCGGCCUGCGACCACCUGAGCUUAACAUCCUUUCAGUUUCUGGGGAAAAAUGAAGAUGGCAAAGGAAGGUGUCCCUUUGACCCUGCGCAGAGCUACACGUCUGUCAUGGUUGACGGAGAGCUUUAUUCCGGGACGUCGUACAACUUUUUGGGAAGCGAACCCAUCAUCUCCCGAAAUUCUUCCCACAGCCCUCUGAGAACAGAGUACGCGAUACCCUGGCUGAACGAGCCCAGCUUCGUGUUUUCUGACGUCAUCCGAGAGAGCCUGGACGACGGCGAGGACGACAGGGUCUACUUCUUCUUCACGGAGGUGUCUGUCGAGUACGAGUUUGUCUUCAAGCUGCUGAUCCCCCGGGUGGCGAGGGUGUGCAAGGGGGACCAGGGCGGCUUGAGGACCUUACAGAAGAAGUGGACCUCCUUCCUGAAGGCCAGGCUCAUCUGCUCCCGGCCGGAGAGCAACCUCGUCUUCAACGUGCUGCGGGACGUCUUCGUCCUCCGGGCCCCGGGCCUGAAGGAGCCCGUGUUCUACGGGGUCUUCACCCCGCAGCUGAACAACGUGGGGCUGUCGGCCGUGUGUGCCUACAACCUGUCCACGGCCGAGGCGGUCUUCGCCAGCGGGAAGUACAUGCAGAGUGCCACGGUGGAGCAGUCCCACACCAAGUGGGUGCGCUACAACGGGCCGGUGCCCACGCCGCAGCCCGGGGCGUGUAUCAACCGGGAGGCGCGGGCGGCCAACCUCUCCAGCUCGCUCAACCUGCCAGACAAGACCCUGCAGUUUGUCAAAGAUCACCCGCUCAUGGACGACUCUGUGACCCCGGUAGACAACAGACCCCGGCUGGUCAAAACCGACGCGAACUACACACAGAUCGUGGUGGACAGGACCCAGGCCCUGGACGGGACCGUCUACGAUGUCAUGUUUGUCAGCACAGACCGGGGCGCCCUGCACAAAGCCAUCAACCUUGAGAAUGACGUCCACAUCAUCGAGGAGACACAGCUCUUCCAGGACUUCGAGCCGGUCCAGACCCUGCUGCUGUCCUCCAAGAAGGGCAGGAGGUUCAUCUAUGCCGGUUCCAACUCGGGCGUGGUGCAGGCCCCCGUGGCCUUCUGCGGACAGCACGGCACCUGCGAGGACUGCGUGCUGGCCCGGGACCCCUACUGCGCCUGGAGCCCGGCCGCGGCCGCCUGCGUCACCCUGCACCAGACCGACAGCCCCAGCAGGGAGUUGAUUCAGGAAAUGAGCGGAGACACGUCCGCUUGCCCCGCCUCAUCUCCUCUGCCCUUCCCCCCUCCGGGGUCCUCUUCCCUGUCCUGUCUGGGCCCCGACUCACCUUCCUCUCCCCGAAGCCCCUGGCCGGCCUCGGGCGCGGGUCCCGACAGCCGCCCGCGGGUCACCUUGCUGCCGCCCUUCCUCAGCGACCAGGCCCAGCACGUGCACGCCCUGGGGACCUUCCACCUCUUCUGCCAGGCCACAGGUCCCGCGGACGUCCACUUCCUCUGGGAGAAGAAUGGGCGCGCGCUGGAGGCGUGCGUCCCCACGCAGACCCACGCGCUGCCCGACGGCCGGGCCCUCGUGCUCAGCUGGCUGCGAGACGCCGUCCGGGAGGGCGCCGAGUACCGCUGCUCUGCGCUGUCCACGGCGGGGAGCCAGACCUCCCGGGUGCACAUCGCCGUGACGGGACACGUGCCCUUGCCUGUUGCUGUCAGGAUAAAAUGAAUACCCGUGUGAGACUUAGAAAUUGUGACGUCUUACCCAGAAGCCAAGUGAACGAUGCUGCCAGCAAACAGCGAAGUAGUAACAGCCAGAGAAGCAACGAGGCAGUUUGAGCCCAACUGUCAUCUAACUUGGUGAACCCCACACACUGACGAUGAAGGUUAAGGGACUCGCCCAAGGUCACGCAGCCCACAAGCGCGCAAGCACAGGGCUUGACUUGAUGGCAGGCAAGGGUCCACCCAAGGCACCGUGCGGACAGGAGACACAGAAGCCAGGAGAGGGGCUAAAAGACGCAAGCAGUUAAGGCGCCUCAGUAUUUUCCGUCCUCCCCCCGCCCCCAUGUUUGCGAAGGCACAGGCGGUGUUGGAGGACGUGUUAGACGAUAAAAUGGGCCUCCAGGGACCCAGACUGCCCCAGCCCUGUGCGUCCUGAGUCAGGAGCCCCUGCAGGGCCCCGUGGAGCUCAGGCCACCAAGGGCCCUCCUACAGAGCCCCGCCAGCUCCCUGCUGUCACCCUGGGGGGCGGCGCCGGCUGAGGGCUGGCUGUGUGGGUACCAUGAGCGCUGGGCCCGCUCAGUUCUGCCCCGGGUGUGAGUCCUGCUUCCCGUCUGAAGGGCUCAGGUUCUUGGAACCCAUUUCUGAGACCAGCGAUGUGAGCCGCGGUCCCAAGCAACGCUGCCGCGCAUUUCUGUGUUUACAAAGAGAGCACGUGGCCGUCAGGCUGGUGCCACCCGGACAGCCCUGCAGUCGCUCCUCCUCAAACCUCAGGACCAGACUCACACGGCCGCUGCGCGGAGCGAGCAGCACGUGAUGUAACAGGAUGCCAGCCCUGGUUACCGAGCUGCUUUCCGGGCCUCAGCUCCCAGCCCCUGCCCACCCUGAACCCCAGGGUGUCUGCAUUGCCCCUCGAGGCGUGGGAAGUGAGUCCCCUCCAGGCUGGAUGGAAAUGCCCCUGAGAUACGGAGGACAGGGCCAGCGGGGCCCUGGGGAGCGGCCGCCUGGGGUGCUGGUGGCCCAAGGAAGGCUGGGUGGAGGAGGCUCUCUGUUGAAGCCCCCGCAGCCAGGAAGGUGAGGCCCAAGGGGUAAACACCUUCCCUGAGCCCACUCGGCUGCCAAGGCCCAGCUCAGCCCAGCAGAGGUGCAGCACGGUGGGCACCCGAGGGCCACCAAGGCCAGUGGAGCUGAGACCUGAGCCCUGCUCUGUCUUGCAGAGGCGACCCACCAAGAGAGGUGGACCAGAGAGCUUGCCGCCUGGAGGGCCGUGGUCGGGGAGCACGACCGCAUGGUGCAGAGCUGGAGGAAGGCGUGGGAAAGCUGCGGCCAGGACGCCUUCUGAGCACCAGGAGGCAGUGCCCACCCCAAGCCCAAGCCCAAGCCCAAGCCCAAGCCCACACUGCCACCACCUGCCACACACUGCAGUCGGGCUGCGCAGAGAACUUGGAGCCCCGAGUGGACCUGCGACAGUUGCCGGAAUGUCUCCUUCUUAUUUAGGUGCUUAGAGGGAACAGGAGGGCCUGUCUGGCAGACGCAGGAAACCAAGGCGACUAACAAGCUACAAACAGAAACUGCUUCAGACAGUAGCGUGUGUGAUGGCUUCUGUCUCCUCCUCAGGUCACCCCAUGUGAUCACACAAGCAGGCCGCCCCCGGGAGCAGCUGGCAGUGGUGGCCCCUCCUGACGGCUGCUUCUCGCCGCCUUCACUUAGCCACGUGACUCCAAGACACGCCGCCCAGCGACAGGGGAGGUGAGGCUCCAAAUGACAGGAAUUUCCCUUAAACCCUGAGGGCGAAGGUGCAAACCCGGAAGCUGACACGGACGUGGGGAGACCGUUGAGUUCCGGCCUGCUCACUAGAGGUCCGAGCGUGCACCUGUCCCCGCGGCUGCAGCCUGCGCACCAGGCUCGCCCGCAGGGAAGAGCCAGCGGGCCAGCUGUGCACGUGUCCCCGGCCGCGGCCCCUCCUCUCACAGCGGGGCGAGCCCAUGAGGCUGAGCUGCGGGGCCUCCGGUCCACACUGCAGCCAGGACCGUGUGUGUGUGCGUGCCCGCGCGUGUGCACGUGUGAGCACGAGGGCCCAGGCCUAACGCUGCUCCGCCCAGCGGCUUGCAGACGUCUGCUUGUGGAAUGACAGCUUUUACCGGAAUGCAGUCUACUGUAAAACCAAAACUUCCAUUAAAGCGCUGCUUCUCCUGUGACCCCGGUCUCCUCAGCCUCAUGACGCAGCCUCUUUCCAGACCCCCUUGUUCUGAAGCUAGGCCCCUUCCUACGGAGUAGCACACACUUCCGGCCAGUCACCUCCAGGAUCCGAUGUGAGCAAGGCUCUGAGGACGGCUGGCUGUGGGGUUCAGGUCGCCCUGGCGGCCCAUCCCGCCUUACCCCUCUCCCCUCCUGCCCAGGCGCCGCCCGUCUUGCCAACAGAUGCCGAUCUGGCCCACAGAGCAUCACAGCCAGGGACAUAGUUUUUGGUAAACCUCCCUCAGCUCUCGCCGUGACUCCUGUGCGCAUGUGGCUCCAGCCACCACUGCUGCUGAGCGAGCUGCACUGAGCUGGGCCCUUUCCUGCUGCUGUCAGCCCCCCUUCUCCACGCCCCACAGCACUGAAACACUAGGUCACCGUCACGUCGACGGGCCGUGCGCGGGUGGGGAAUGUGGUUACGAGGUUGACUUCUGAUUCUCCGAAUUGUUGGAAAAAAAUAAAGAGUUCUACGUCUGCUG